GUCCCCAGCGUAGAUCAAAUAGGCCACU
rnacentral:piRNA from 1 species